GAUGAACGCUGGCGGCGUGCCUAAUACAUGCAAGUCGAGCGAACAGACGAGGAGCUUGCUCCUCUGACGUUAGCGGCGGACGGGUGAGUAACACGUGGAUAACCUACCUAUAAGACUGGGAUAACUUCGGGAAACCGGAGCUAAUACCGGAUAAUAUAUUGAACCGCAUGGUUCAAUAGUGAAAGACGGUUUUGCUGUCACUUAUAGAUGGAUCCGCGCCGCAUUAGCUAGUUGGUAAGGUAACGGCUUACCAAGGCAACGAUGCGUAGCCGACCUGAGAGGGUGAUCGGCCACACUGGAACUGAGACACGGUCCAGACUCCUACGGGAGGCAGCAGUAGGGAAACUUCCGCAAUGGGCGAAAGCCUGACGGAGCAACGCCGCGUGAGUGAUGAAGGUCUUCGGAUCGUAAAACUCUGUUAUUAGGGAAGAACAAAUGUGUAAGUAACUGUGCACGUCUUGACGGUACCUAAUCAGAAAGCCACGGCUAACUACGUG
rnacentral:rRNA from 1 species